rnacentral:rRNA from 1 species
AAUAGAUACCCGGGUAGUCCUAGCCGUAAACGAUACUCGCUAGGUGUCGGCCACGGUGCGACCGUUGUCGGUGCCGUAGGGAAGCCGUGAAGCGAGCCACCUGGGAAGUACGGCCGCAAGGCUGAAACUUAAAGGAAUUGGCGGGGGAGCACCACAACGGGUGGAGCUUGCGGUUUAAUUGGAUUCAACGCCGGAAAUCUUACCGGGACCGACAGCAAUAUGAAGGCCAGGCUGAAGACUUUGCCGGAUUAGCUGAGAGGUGGUGCAUGGCCGUCGUCAGUUCGUACUGUGAAGCAUCCUGUUAAGUCAGGCAACGAGCGAGACCCACGCCCACAGUUGCCAGCGUACUCUCUGGAGUGACGGGUACACUGUGGGGACCGCCGCUGCUAAAGCGGAGGAAGGAAUGGGCAACGGUAGGUCAGUAUGCCCCGAAUAUCCCGGGCUACACGCGAGCUACAAUGGUUGGUACAAUGGGUAUCUACCCCGAAAAGGGACGGGAAUCUCCUAAAACCAAUCUUAGUUCGGAUUGAGGGCUGCAACUCGCCCU